CACCCCGUAAACGUUGGGAACUAGUUGUGGGGUCCAUUCCACGGAUUCCGUGACGCAGCUAACGCAUUAAGUUCCCCGCCUGGGGAGUACGGCCGCAAGGCUAAAACUCAAAGGAAUUGACGGGGACCCGCACAAGCGGCGGAGCAUGCGGAUUAAUUCGAUGCAACGCGAAGAACCUUACCAAGGCUUGACAUAUACGAGAACGGGCCAGAAAUGGUCAACUCUUUGGACACUCGUAAACAGGUGG
rnacentral:rRNA from 1 species